GACCCGGUAGCUCAGUUGGUAGAGCAACGGACUUUUAAUCCGUAGGUCCCGGGUUCGAAACCCGGCCGGGUCA
rnacentral:tRNA from 1 species